ACGGGUGAGUAACGCGUGGGAAUCUACCCAUCUCUACGGAAUAACGCAUGGAAACGUGUGCUAAUACCGUAUACGUCCUUCGGGAGAAAGAUUUAUCGGGGAUGGAUGAGCCCGCGUUGGAUUAGCUAGUUGGUGGGGUAAAGGCCUACCAAGGCGUCGAUCCAUAGCUGGUCUGAGAGGAUGAUCAGCCACACUGGGACUGAGACACGGCCCAGACUCCUACGGGAGGCAGCAGUGGGGAAUAUUGGACAAUGGGCGCAAGCCUGAUCCAGCCAUGCCGCGUGAGUGAUGAAGGCCCUAGGGUUGUAAAGCUCUUUCACCGGUGAAGAUAAUGACGGUAACCGGAGAAGAAGCCCCGGCUAACUUCGUGCCAGCAGCCGCGGUAAUACGAAGGGGGCUAGCGUUGUUCGGAUUUACUGGGCGUAAAGCGCACGUAGGCGGACUAUUAAGUCAGGGGUGAAAUCCCGGGGCUCAACCCCGGAACUGCCUUUGAUACUGGUAGUCUUGAGUUCGAGAGAGGUGAGUGGAAUUCCGAGUGUAGAGGUGAAAUUCGUAGA
rnacentral:rRNA from 1 species